rnacentral:rRNA from 1 species
CCUACGGGAGGCAGCAGUGGGGAAUAUUGCGCAAUGGGCGAAAGCCUGACGCAGCGACGCCGCGUGAGGGAUGAAGGUCUUCGGAUCGUAAACCUCUGUCAGCAGGGAAGAACGGUCACUGUGCUAAUCAGCAGUGAAUUGACGGUACCUGCAAAGGAAGCACCGGCUAACUCCGUGCCAGCAGCCGCGGUAAUACGGAGGGUGCGAGCGUUAAUCGGAAUUACUGGGCGUAAAGCGCUCGUAGGCGGUAUGUCAAGUCAAGGGUGAAAUCCCCGCGCUCAACGUGGGAACUGCCUUUGAAAAUGGCAAACUGGAGUGUGUGAGAGGGUAGUGGAAUUCCAGGUGUAGGAGUGAAAGCCGUAGAUAUCUGGAGGAACAUCAGUGGCGAAGGCGACUAUCUGGCACAUAACUGACGCUGAGGAGCGAAAGCGUGGGUAGCAAACAGGAUUAGAUACCCUGGUAGUC